GGAGGGUGCGAGCGUUGUCCGGAAUCACUGGGCGUAAAGGGCGCGUAGGCGGCGCAGUAAGUAGGGGGUGAAGUCUCAUGGCUCAACCGUGAAACGGCCUCCUAAACUGCUGUGCUUGAGCACGGUAGAGGCAGAUGGAAUUCCCGGUGUAGCGGUGGAAUGCGUAGAUAUCGGGAAGAACACCAGUGGCGAAGGCGGUCUGCUGGGCCGUUGCUGACGCUGAGGCGCGACAGCGUGGGGGGAGCAAACAGGAUUAGAUACCCUGGUAGUCCACGCCGUAAACGACGGGUACUAGGCGUCGGGGGGAGCGACCCCUUCGGUGCCGUCGCUAACGCAGUAAGUACCCCCGCCUGGGGAGUACGGCCGCAAGGCUG
rnacentral:rRNA from 1 species